rnacentral:rRNA from 1 species
GAUGAACGCUGGCGGCGUGCCUAAUACAUGCAAGUCGAGCGAAUGGAUUAAGAGCUUGCUCUUAUGAAGUUAGCGGCGGACGGGUGAGUAACACGUGGGUAACCUGCCCAUAAGACUGGGAUAACUCCGGGAAACCGGGGCUAAUACCGGAUAACAUUUUGAACCGCAUGGUUCGAAAUUGAAAGGCGGCUUCGGCUGUCACUUAUGGAUGGACCCGCGUCGCAUUAGCUAGUUGGUGAGGUAACGGCUCACCAAGGCAAUGAUGCGUAGCCGACCUGAGAGGGUGAUCGGCCACACUGGGACUGAGACACGGCCCAGACUCCUACGGGAGGCAGCAGUAAGGAAUCUUCCGCAAUGGACGAAAGUCUGACGGAGCAACGCCGCGUGAGUGAUGAAGGCUUUCGGGUCGUAAAACUCUGUUGUUAGGGAAGAACAAGUGCUAGUUGAAUAAGCUGGCACCUUGACGGUACCUAACCAGAAAGCCACGGCUAACUACGUGCCAGCCGCCGCCGUAA